rnacentral:rRNA from 1 species
CCUACGGGUGGCAGCAGUGAGGAAUAUUGGUCAAUGGACGAGAGUCUGAACCAGCCAAGUAGCGUGAAGGAUGACUGCCCUAUGGGUUGUAAACUUCUUUUAUAUGGGAAUAAAAUGUUCCACGUGUGGGAUUUUGUAUGUACCAUAUGAAUAAGGAUCGGCUAACUCCGUGCCAGCAGCCGCGGUAAUACGGAGGAUCCGAGCGUUAUCCGGAUUUAUUGGGUUUAAAGGGUGCGUAGGUGGAUUGUUAAGUCAGUUGUGAAAGUUUGCGGCUCAACCGUAAAAUUGCAGUUGAAACUGGCAGUCUUGAGUACAGUAGAGGUGGGCGGAAUUCGUGGUGUAGCGGUGAAAUGCUUAGAUAUCACGAAGAACUCCGAUUGCGAAGGCAGUUCACUGGACUGUAACUGACACUGAGGCUCGAAAGUGUGGGUAUCAAACAGGAUUAGAUACCCGAGUAGUC